rnacentral:rRNA from 1 species
UACGGAGGGUGCAAACGUUGCUCGGAAUCAUUGGGCGUAAAGGCGCACGUAGGCGGCCUGAUAAGUCGGGUGUGAAAGCCCUGGGCUCAAACCCCAGGAAGUGCACCUUGAAACUGAUCAGGCUUUGAAAUAUGGGAAGAGGGGUCGCGGGAAUUCCCGGAUUGGUAGAGGUGGAAAUUCGUAGAUAUCGGGAGGAACACCAGUGGCGAAGGCGGCGACCUGGGCCAAUAUUGACGCUGAG